GCGGGUGUAGCUCAAUGGUAGAGUUCUAGCCUUCCAAGGGAGCUGUGCCGGUUCAAUCCCGGUCACCCGCUCCA
rnacentral:tRNA from 2 species